AUCGGAUUGGUCCAAAAAUUGAGCGACAAGAUACAACGAUGCGACCUUCGAUCUGCCCGAAGCAACGAUUAUGCAUCGGGCUUCGCUUUUUAGCUUCGGGAGACUCAUAUGAAUCUCUUGCUUUUUUGUUUAGGGUUUCUAGCAGUUCCGUAUCCCGUAUUGUGCGUGAUGUUUGUACAUACAUAAUAAAUGAAUUGAAGGAAUACGUUAAGGUAUUAUUUCACUGAUUUAAUAUGGUAACAAUUCCAUACUAAUA